CGAGCGGCGGACGGGUGAGUAAUGCCUGGGAAAUUGCCCUGAUGUGGGGGAUAACCAUUGGAAACGAUGGCUAAUACCGCAUAAUAACUUCGGCUCAAAGAGGGGGACCUUCGGGCCUCUCGCGUCAGGAUAUGCCCAGGUGGGAUUAGCUAGUUGGUGAGGUAAGGGCUCACCAAGGCGACGAUCCCUAGCUGGUCUGAGAGGAUGAUCAGCCACACUGGAACUGAGACACGGUCCAGACUCCUACGGGAGGCAGCAGUGGGGAAUAUUGCACAAUGGGCGCAAGCCUGAUGCAGCCAUGCCGCGUGUGUGAAGAAGGCCUUCGGGUUGUAAAGCACUUUCAGUCGUGAGGAAGGUAGUGUAGUUAAUAGAUGCAUUAUUUGACGUUAGCGACAGAAGAAGC
rnacentral:rRNA from 1 species